GCUUGCACGGUCUGAUUAGUGGCGAACGGGUGAGUAACACGUGAGUAACCUGCCCUCCACUUCGGGAUAACCUCGGGAAAUCGUGGCUAAUACCGGAUAUGAAUCCUUGUCGCAUGGCGGGGGUUGGAAAGAUUUAUCGGUGGGGGAUGGACUCGCGGCCUAUCAGUUUGUUGGUGAGGUAAUGGCUCACCAAGACGAUGACGGGUAGCCGGCCUGAGAGGGCGACCGGCCACACUGGGACUGAGACACGGCCCAGACUCCUACGGGAGGCAGCAGUGGGGAAUAUUGCACAAUGGGCGAAAGCCUGAUGCAGCGACGCCGCGUGAGGGAUGACGGCCUUCGGGUUGUAAACCUCUUUCAGUAGGGAAGAAGCGAGAGUGACGGUACCUGCAGAAGAAGCGCCGGCUAACUACGUGCCAGCAGCCGCGGUAAUACGUAGGGCGCAAGCGUUGUCCGGAAUUAUUGGGCGUAAAGAGCUUGUAGGUGGCUUGUCGCGUCUGCCGUGAAAACCCGAGGCUCAACCUCGGGCGUGCGGUGGGUACGGGCAGGCUAGAGUGUGGUAGGGGAGACUGGAACUCCUGGUGUAGCGGUGAAAUGCGCAGAUAUCAGGAAGAACACCGAUGGCGAAGGCAGGUCUCUGGGCCAUUACUGACACUGAGAAGCGAAAGCAUGGGUA
rnacentral:rRNA from 1 species